rnacentral:rRNA from 1 species
UACGAAGGGGGCUAGCGUUGCUCGGAAUCACUGGGCGUAAAGCGCACGUAGGCGGCUUUCUAAGUCAGGGGUGAAAUCCUGGAGCUCAACUCCAGAACUGCCUUUGAUACUGGAGAGCUGAGUCCGGGAGAGGUGGAGUGGAACUCCGGAGUGUAGAGGUGAAAUUCGUAGAUAUUCGGAAGAACACCAGUGGCGAAGGCGGCUCACUGGCCCGGUACUGACGCUGAGGUGCGAAAGCGUGGGGAGCAAACAGGG